CAACCUUGGGCUCACAUGGUGUU
rnacentral:siRNA from 1 species